ACGAACGCUGGCGGCGUGCCUAAUACAUGCAAGUCGAGCGGACAGAAGGGAGCUUGCUCCCGGAUGUUAGCGGCGGACGGGUGAGUAACACGUGGGUAACCUGCCUGUAAGACUGGGAUAACUCCGGGAAACCGGAGCUAAUACCGGAUAGUUCCUUGAACCGCAUGGUUCAAGGAUGAAAGACGGUUUCGGCUGUCACUUACAGAUGGACCCGCGGCGCAUUAGCUAGUUGGUGGGGUAAUGGCUCACCAAGGCGACGAUGCGUAGCCGACCUGAGAGGGUGAUCGGCCACACUGGGACUGAGACACGGCCCAGACUCCUACGGGAGGCAGCAGUAGGGAAUCUUCCGCAAUGGACGAAAGUCUGACGGAGCAACGCCGCGUGAGUGAUGAAGGUUUUCGGAUCGUAAAGCUCUGUUGUUAGGGAAGAACAAGUGCGAGAGUAACUGCUCGCACCUUGACGGUACCUAACCAGA
rnacentral:rRNA from 1 species